AGGGCCCCGCACAAGCAGCGGAGCGUGUGGUUUAAUUCGAUGCUACACGAAGAACCUUACCAGGGUUUGACAUGCUAGUGGUAGGAAACCGAAAGGUGACCGACCCUUCGGGAGCUAGCACAGGUGCUGCACGGCUGUCGUCAGCUCGUGUCGUGAGAUGUUCGGUUAAGUCCGCUAACGAGCGCAACCCUCGCUGUGUGUUAUAUGUGUCACAUGGGACUGCCGGGCCUUAAGCCGGAGGAAGGUGGGGAUGAUGUCAAGUCAGCAUGGCCUUUAUGUCCUGGGCUACACACACGCUACAAUGGUCAGCACAAUGGGUCGCUAAGCCGCAAGGUGGAGCCAAUCCUCAAAGUUGGCCUCAGUUCAGAUUGUAGGCUGCAACUCGCCUGCAUGAAGAUGGAGUUGCUAGUAAACGCAGGUCAGCUAUACUGCGUUGAAUACGUUCCCGGGGCUU
rnacentral:rRNA from 1 species